UUUUUACGGAUGAAUUGAUGGGCGCCUACAACUGGCAUGAGUGAUGCGAAAAGCAGGCCCUGGUCAAGCUUAAGCUGUUGGAUUCCAUUCUACGAGAAAUCUUCAAACUACAAGGAAGUUUCGAUUUCGAACGAGGCG